UACAGAGGGUGCAAGCGUUAAUCGGAAUUACUGGGCGUAAAGGGUGCGUAGGCGGCUGAUUAAGUUAUGUGUGAAAUACCUGGGCUUAACCUAGGGGCUGCAUAUAAGACUGGUUGGCUAGAGUAGGACAGAGGGAAGUGGAAUUUCCGGUGUAGCGGUGAAAUGCGUAGAUAUCGGAAAGAACACCGGUGGCGAAGGCGGCUUCCUGGGUCCAAACUGACGCUGAGGCACGAAAGCAUGGGUAGCAAACAGG
rnacentral:rRNA from 1 species